rnacentral:lncRNA from 1 species
GUUUUUUUCUUUUAUUGAAAAUAGUUUUGUUUUUUUUUUUCACGUGUAUAUAUAUAUAUAUAUAUAUAUAUAUAUAUAUAUACACAUACAUACAUAUACAUAUACAUAUAUAUCUCCUGAUUAUGGUUCUCCCUUCCUCUGCUCCUCCUAGCUCCUCCCCACCUCCCUCCCAUCAGGAUCCACCCCCUUUCUGUCUCUCAUUAGCAAAUACACAGGCUUCUAUGGGAUAAUGAUAAAAUAGGAAUAAAAAAAUCUACACAUUGGGAUAGAACAAAAUAGAAAAAAAAAAGAAAGAAAGAAAGAAAAAAAGCCCAAGGAAGACACAAGAAAAAGAGACACACAUUCUCAUUCUCGGGAAUUCCAUAAUACUGUGAUGCUAUGUAUGCAAAAGACCUGUAAGGUAAAAAAGAGAGAAUAAAAAAAUACAUAUAUAAAAAAAAAACAAAAAGAAAAAGACAAGGAAAAAAGCCUGACCCAACAUUGUGAGGCAGUGACCCAACAAAGACUCCCUUGAGCUUGCUUUCUGUUGGCAUUUACUCCUGGGCAUGCCCUACCCUGAGGAACAGUUUGUGUCCCCAGUGAGACUCCUUUGGAGAACACUAAAUUCUAAUUUUCAAUUUGCUAGUCAUUAUCAUUUGGAGCUAGUAUCUGGGUUAGGGAUGGGGCAUGUGUCCUUCAUCCUCUCAGCUCUAGGGCCCCCCCUGGAGGAGACCUGUGUAGCAGCAUGGCUUUUCUGUGUCCCUAGCCAUUCUUUUUAUGAACAAAGAAACUCCUCAUUUCCCUUCUAUCUUGAUUAGCCAUAAAGAUGAACAAACAGCUUGGUUAUUUGCAAUCCAGUUCCGUAAGGUUGAAAGAAGCCAACUUGGUGUAUGGCGUCAGGCCCUGUGGCAUGCCAGAUAGUGAGCCAGCUAGGGAGGGAGGGAGGGCUCUGACUUUGGGAGCAGAUGGUCCAAAGCCUGAUAAUUCCAGCUUCCAUUACAUUGCAACCACACAAACAACGUUCCACUGUGUGGGGCACCAUCAGGAGAACUUUGUCAACCUUUCAACUUCCCUUUAACUGCUCCAAGGGCUCACAGAUUCCGUGCAUGUAGUCUUUUCGAAUGAGUGGGAAGGGGAAAGCCUUUACAUGAUGUAAUGCCCCAAAAAUCCCCCCACAGUUUCUGAGGGAAGCAGUUGCUCUCUGUCUGUCUGGACAAGCUGACUUCAGUGGGACGCUUUUUCCUAGACAACCCAGGGCAAUGUGCAUGGACGGACUCUGGCUCUCCUCUCUCGGAGCCUGAACAGCAAGAGGACUGUUUGCACGUGCACAGGAAGUGACACUGGAUGCUGUCAGAAGCUUUGGUAUCAAAUCCUAGGUCCACCACUUAUUUACUGGUUUGGGGGAAAUCCCUUUAAUUCUUGAAAGGUGGCUCUCUCCAUUUGGGACGAUAAACCUGAAUAAUUAAAAUUGAUCUACUUAUGCUUAAACAAAAGCACUGUUAUCUAGCAGUCUAUCGAUUCUUGGCAGUCCUACCUAACCAGUUUCUGAGCAGUAAAUCGGAGUUCCUGGAAGUUAUUUCGAUUGUUCCUAGAUCUCUAUCCCUCUUCCUUCUUUACUGUCGCUCCAGUCUGUGAAAAAUUAAGUAUGGAAUUUAAAUGUUACUCAAAUGCAUACAUUGUAAAUGUAAAAUGUGCACACACACACACACACACAUACACACACUGCUGUACAACCAACACAUGCAUUUUGUGGCCAGAAUUCCUUCCUCCCACCCCUAGUCAUACCAAUGUUUAAAAGAUUGACAACUACUUCAUUUUCAGAAAUGAGAAGUUUACAGGGUCCAAGUCCUCUGACUUCUUAGCUGUCCAUUAGGAAAGUCAGACUUCUGGCUGCUUUUCUCAGUUGAAUUCCUUAGCUCUUUAGAGGAUGUGUUAGCAUUCCUGUGAUCCUGCCUCAUUCUAGAGCAGAUACCUUAGCUGGUCACUCUAGUAAUGAGGCGUGAGGUAGUCAGAAACACCUUGGGCAACUUCUCUCCUGUAGAUCCUGUAGCAGGUUGUCCUAGUGUCUGUGGGCCUCAGAGCCUAAAGUUUGACAUUCCCCCCCCCCCCCCCCAGGAUGGUCUUGGCUGUGUCCCAGCUUUGGUUUCCUGGAUGCCUCUACUCCACACUAUUGGUUAGAACUAUAGUUUACCCUCCAUACAGGAAGGGAGGAAGUCAGUGGGGAGCUUGCAGUCUGCCCUCUGCCCUCUGAUAGCAUUUCUAGAGCCUGGUGUAGUGGCACUCCAGUCUUCAGAAAGCUGAGACCGGAGGAUUGCAAAUUUGAGCCCAGUCUGGGCUUCAUAGCAAGACUCUAUCCUAUCCCUCAUAUACCUCCAAAGAGAACAGUUUCAAGUGCUCUGUAAUGUCACCCUUAGCUCUGCCAUUAUUGUUACUAACAUGAAGCUAUAUUUCCUGUAAACGGCGACUUUACCGCUACCAGGGUCCUGCUGACAGUGCUCUAUCACUGACUCAGAAAGGCCACUUGCAUUUAAUAUCUAGAGAAAUGUAUAGGUAGGAUUUCUAAACCAUUAAAAUUGAAUGCACGUAUUCACGGUCAAGAUUAGAGGAUAUUAUAAUAAUAAAAAGCAUGUUCAGUC